CAGACCCUUCUUCUCCUUUUUUUUCAGUUUUGGCUUGCCACGACCCCACCUUCACGCCUCCACCACCGCCACCACACGCCGCCACUUGGGGCGGCACCGGUUCCGUUGGAACCACCACACUCCCUACUUUCCAUUCCACCCCACCACCACCUCGAUCCGCCUCCGUACACGCCGGAAUCAGCCACGAAAGGUAGCGGUUUGGACAGAUUUUUGUCAAACUUUCGGCCCUUCGUUCUCUCUCAUUUCUCCACCAAAUUGGACGAGUAAGGUACUCCGACCACGCAUUCGCAGCAGGCGGGACCCUCUCAGGGUCAGGCAGUGUGGGACUACUUGUGAGUGGACUUUGUUUUCAAAUCUUAUGCAUGGUUUUAUGGAUGAAAGAUUUAUGCUUAACGUUUUUAAUGAUUUAUUGAAUAUAUUAUAUUCGUGGAUUGAAUUUGAUGUUUGUUUAGCGCUUUAGCAUAGUUGGAUUUUGAAAGUAUAUUUUAUAAGGAUUUUGGGAAAUUUUAUGCAUGAUGUUUUAAAUGGUAUUUUGGAUAUAUUAUUUAUUCAAUUGUUGAAAGUGAUAUUUUUAUGAGGCUUUAGAAAUAUAUUUGGGUUUUGACAUAUUUGAGUAUCUUGAGUAUGUGUAUGGAUUUUGAGAAUUUAUAUAUAUGUUUGGCUAUGUGUGGGGUACUUGGGUUGUUGAGAUGAGAUUUUGGAAAGUGUUGAGUAUAGAAUGUCAGUUUGGAGUGCUAUAAGCACUACCCUAUGUACCUCCCCUGAUUUGGAACUUGGAUACGGAUACUUGAGAUACUCGGGGCAUCCUUGACGGGAUGUUGCUGUAGACCCUUGAUUGGGUAGUCUGCGCGCGUAGGACUGGUCACAGACAUACAAGUUUUGAGGGUAUCGACUGUACGUGCUGGCUGAGAGUUAGUCCCCCGGUUGGACGGCUCGUUCCCUAGUUACAUGGUGAAUUGAGGACUCUUCAUGGGGACUCUGCCAUGGUGACUAGUCAAACAAUCCCCCGGUUGGAUUGUUUCCCCGGUACAACUAGGUGUUGGUCAUAUUUAUAUUAUUAUUAUAUUGUAUAUAUAUCUCUUAUUAUGUAUAAAUUUACAUAUGUAUAUAACUAUUCAUUUAUUCUUAUUUUUUUUUUCGGUGAGGAUACUUCCUUGCCGGUCGUGCCUUUGGGUACGCUUUCGAGAGUUUGGUUUGAGACUUAUAAUAUUUAAUUGGUGGGUUGUUUAGUGUUCUAUUUGGAUUUCGGACUUGGCAUUCCGGUAUUGGUUUGGUUUUGACCCAUAUAAAUAUUUAUUUGAUUUUGAUGAUUUGAGAUACAUUCAGAUUUCUUGCUUGGUUUAUUUAAACAGUGGGGUUAUAUUAUGUUGGUUUGCACUGAACUAAACUUUAUUUUUGUCCACUCACAUUUUUCUGUUUUGCGCCCCCAGCCAGUAGUCGACUGAGCUCCGCAGCUGGGCCGGAUCGUGUGCUCACGAGCCUUGAGCCUUCGUAGGAUUUCUUC
rnacentral:lncRNA from 1 species